UCAAUAUCGUGAAAAUGGCCAUACUGCCCAAGGUAAUUUAUAGAUUCAAUGCCAUCCCCAUCAAGCUACCAAUGACUUUCUUCACAGAAUUGGAAAAAACUACUUUAAAGUUCAUAUGGAACCAAAAAAGAGGCCGCAUCGCCAAGUCAAUCCUAAGCCAAAAGAACAAAGCUGGAGGCAUCACACUACCUGACUUCAAAC
rnacentral:lncRNA from 10 species